UACGAAGGGGGCUAGCGUUGCUCGGAAUGACUGGGCGUAAAGCGCACGCAGGCGGUCUGUUAAGUUUGACGUGAAAGCUCCCGGCUUAACUGGGAGAGGUCGUUGAAGACUGGCAGACUUGAGGCGAUGAGAGGGGUGUAGAAUUCCCGGUGUAGUGGUGGAAUGCGUAGAUAUCGGGGGGAAUACCAGUGGCGAAAGCGGCACCCUAGCGUUAGCCUGACGCUCAUGUGCGAAAGCGUGGGGAGCGAACGGG
rnacentral:rRNA from 1 species